UACGUAGGUCCUGAGCGUUAUCCGGAUUUAUUGGGCGUAAAGCGAGCGCAGGCUGUUAGAUAAGUCUGAAGUGAAAGGCUGUGGCUUAACCAUAUUAUGCUUUGGAAACUGUUUAACUUGAGUGCAGAAGGGGAGAGUGGAAUUCCAUGUGUAGCGGUGAAAUGCGUAGAUAUAUGGAGGAACACCGGUGGCGAAAGCGGCUCUCUGGUCUGUAACAGACGCUGAGGCUCGAAAGCGUGGGGAGCAAACAGG
rnacentral:rRNA from 1 species